CGGCGGACGGGUGAGUAACGCGUGGGUAACCUGCCUUGUACAGGGGGAGUAACAGCUGGAAACGGCUGCUAAUACCGCAUAAGCGCACGAGGAGACAUCUCCUUGUGUGAAAAACUCCGGUGGUACAGGAUGGGCCCGCGUCUGAUUAGCUGGUUGGCAGGGUAACGGCCUACCAAGGCAACGAUCAGUAGCCGGACUGAGAGGUUGAACGGCCACAUUGGGACUGAGACACGGCCCAGACUCCUACGGGAGGCAGCAUG
rnacentral:rRNA from 1 species